UAGGGAUGUCAUAGUUUGGGUCCUGAAGCAGAGGUGGCGGAACUGCAUAUGUCUGUGCAAAAGACAAAAGUUGUCAAUAUAAUUUAUACUUAGUGGAAAGUAAGUGUCUCAGUUUGCUUCAAAUGAUGUGCUUGUUAGAUUGUUUUACACUGUCUGAAACACCCUCCUCCACACCUGUCUGAAGUCAGAAUUUGGGGGGUUUUGUCUUUCCCAAGAAUUGGUGUCUACAGAGGUGUUAAAGCAAUUCAAUAUUUGAGUUUCUCUUCGAGUUCUUUUUUCAUUCUUUAACAAAACAACUACCAUCAUUUUUCAUGUCUACAACCUAGUGCAACACCAUGAAUGCUUUUGAGAAGAGACUGUCCCAAAGUGAGCACCAUUAUCUCCACGAUUAUUUGCAUGAUUCAUUGUGUUAAGGCUACAAAGACUGCAAGUUCUUGGAGAUGGAUCAGGGAGGCGAUGUAAUGCAGCCAGGAGGAGACUAUGACGGCAGGCUUCACCCCACUUUUGAGUGUGGCCAUUUGGAACAGGUGGCUACUGCAGAGUGGAACAGGACUCCCCUGGAGCAGGAGAGGAAAUGGUGAACAUGCCCAUAAAGACCCCAGUGCUGCAUGCCUGUCCCCAUGGAGAGGCCCCUGGUCCCCAUCUGUAAGCUCUUUUGCCAGCAGGGGUUUCCCAGCGUUGCAUUUCUGCAACAGCCUACCUCUCUAAUCAUGAGAGUUAACACUUCCCAAGGAAGAGGUCCAACUUUGACCUUGGAGCACCAGCCAGACUGACAUCUACAUUCAGGGGCCAGGCCUUGCCGCCCAUACAAAGAGCACAUCCACCAUCCACUGGUGCCAGCCACAUUUUGAUCCAUCACCGUGACGAUAUCUCCCC